rnacentral:rRNA from 1 species
AACCAGAUAGGGGAGGCGUAGCGAAAGCGAGUCCGAACAGGGCGUUGAGUUGCUGGGUGUAGACCCGAAACCGGAUGAUCUAUCCAUGGCCAGGAUGAAGGUGCGGUAACACGCACUGGAGGUCCGAACCCACGUCUGUUGCAAAAGACGGGGAUGAGCUGUGGAUAGGGGUGAAAGGCUAAACAAAUCCGGAAAUAGCUGGUUCUCUCCGAAAACUAUUUAGGUAGUGCCUCGAGAUUACACUGACGGGGGUAGAGCACUGUUAUGGCUAGGGGGUCAUUGCGAUUUACCAACCCAUG